rnacentral:rRNA from 1 species
UACAGAGGGUGCGAGCGUUGUCCGGAAUUACUGGGCGUAAAGAGCGCGUAGGCGGUCUGGUAAGUUGGGAGUGAAAUCCCGGGGCUUAACCUCGGAAUUGCUUUCAAAACUGCCAGUCUAGAGUAUAGUAAGGGAUGAUGGAAUUCCUAGUGUAGAGGUGAAAUUCUUAGAUAUUAGGAGGAACACCGGUGGCGAAGGCGGUCAUCUGGGCUAUAACUGACGCUGAUGCGCGAAAGCGUGGGGAGCAAACAGG